rnacentral:rRNA from 1 species
AAGCCAUGCGAGUCGAGAGGUGUAAGACCUCGGCAUACUGCUCAGUAACACGUGGUUAACCUGCCCUAAGGUGGAGAAUACUCCCGGGAAACUGGGGUUAAUGCUCCAUAGUGGAUAUGUCCUGGAAUGGUAUAUCCUCGGAAGAUCCGUCGCCUUAGGAUGGGACUGCGUCCGAUUAGGUUGUUGGCGGGGUAACGGCCCACCAAGCCAUUGAUCGGUACGGGUUGUGGGAGCAAGAUCCCGGAGAUGGAUUCUGAGACAUGAAUCCAGGCCCUACGGGGCGCAGCAGGCGCGCAAACUUUACAAUGCGAGCAAUCGUGAUAAGGAAACCCUGAGUGCCUGUCGAUGCAGGCUGUUCAUAUAUCUAAAUCAUAUGUGAAGAAAGGGCAGGGCAAGACCGGUGCCAGCCGCCGCGGUAAUACCGGCUGCUCGAGUGAUGGCCACUAUUACUGGGUUUAAAGCGUCCGUAGCUUGACUGUUAGGUCCCUUGGGAAAUCUUCGCGCUUAACGUGAAGGCGUCUAAGAGAUACCGGCAGUCUUGGAACUGGGAGAGGUAAACCGUACUUCGGGGGUAGGAGUGAAAUCUUGUAAUCCUCGAGGGACGACCUAUGGCGAAGGCAGUUUACCAGAACAGCUUCGACAGUGAGGGACGAAAGCUGGGGGAGCAAACGGGAUUAGAUACCCCGGUAGUCCCAGCCGUAAACAAUGUGCGUUAGGUGUGUCGGUAACCACGCGUUACUGAUGCGCCGAAGAGAAAUCGUGAAACGCACCACCUGGGAAGUACGGUC